GAUACCCUAUUAUUUUAGAUAUUAUUUAUUUUCUAUAGUUAUUAGUAGUUAAGUUCUUUAAAAUUAAACAAUUUGGCGGUAUUUUAGUCUGUUCAGAGGAACCUGUUUUUUAAUCGAUGGUCCACGAUAAUUUAUACCUUAUCUUUUAAUUUGCAUAUCGUCGUUAUUAAAAAUUUUAGGAGAAUUUUAAUUUUUAUGAUUUAUUAUUAUGGAUUAGUUCAGAUCAAGAUGUAGUUUAUGUUAAGGUUAAAAUGGGUUACAUUUCAUUAAUGAUUAGUUCUUUUUUUUAGAAUUUAAGAUAAAUUGGAUUUGAUAGUAAAUUCUUUAUUUUGUGGGAUUGAUUUAGCUCUAAAAUAUGUACAUAUCGCC
rnacentral:rRNA from 1 species